CCGUUUUCUUGCCGUAUGCAUGUAGAAUGAGCACGGAACGGACAUCGAGUGGUAAAACUAGCCGUUGGAAUAUUCAGUCCUCGCCAAUGACGCGAAACGACUGCAACGGUUAUUGCACGGUUACGAUGUUGCUACGGAGAUCACCGUUUUAAUCUAUUUUAUUUCGUAUACAUAUUUCUAUUCACUGGAUACGAAUAUACCGCUUCCCUUAUCGUUAGUAAGUGCGUGUACAGAGGAGAAUUUCUUAUCGUCAAGACUGUACAUAAGUAGACAUUCAUCGAUGAUCGGUAAAGAAGUGUAGUGUUGUUAUCAGUAGUUGAUAUCAUCUGUAUCACCGACAAGCAUGUACAUAGUACGGGAGACAGCUGGAGGCAGCGACACUUUUUUCAUGACUACGAAUACAAAGCUGAUUUUUUUUUUUUUAUUUUGUUGUUUAUAUAUUCCACGCAAAGAAAAUGCAACUCUACCAAGCUUAUACUGUUGCCUGCAUUAAUAACAAUUUUCGAAACAUGUAAAAGGAAUUAUGUAAAUGUAUUGUAUGUACAUUAUUCAUUAUGUAGAAAGGCUGUUUAUGUUUAAGUAUGUGCGUUCGGUAGGAAUAAUUAGUAUCAAAGUAGGUAGAGUUCGUAUUCGCUAUUGCACAUUUCCAUUUAAUUCUCGCAGAAAAUUACGCUUCGUACUGAAUUAACUUGUGGCCUGGUUAGCCUUUACAAGAAAAAUGCUUUCGAACAUCUUCUUUUUUAUUAGUUCUUGCAAUUGCGAUUCAAGCAUUCAAUAGCGAUUCAAGCAUUUUUCGGUCAUGUAUUAAGUUUAGGAAAAUAUAGAUAAAAGAUAAUUGUGUAAGUUGUGGGUGGCUGAUAUGUAUGCUAAUACGUCCCAAUAAUUUUAAAGCGAUGAGAUCUGGCCAUUAUUUAGUAUGCAAUUGCUUAUCGUAUGACCGGUGGGGAUACGCUAAUGUUAUUAGCUACAUAACAAAUAGUAUCAACAAUUUAGCUGCAAUCUUUUUUGUUACGUUGGCUAUGUUUUAUUCAUUCUUCCAACUUUAAAAACUUCUACUUAUAUUACUCGUAAAAGUCAGAGAGAGAUCUCGAUAGAUAGCUUGUAAGUAGACUGCGGAUUUUAUGCAUUUAUGAUACUAUCGAUGUUAGUAUACUAAAUACAUGCUAAUCAUAACCAAAGGUAUGAGCACUUAUGUAAGAUGAAAUAAUAAUAUUACUAUAUUCAUUGUAGAAUAUAUUCAACAUGCUUUAUGUGUAGUUUUUGUAUUACUGUACACCAUAAUGCAUAAAAACCGAGUCUACUUGAACUUUCAGCGCGCUUAGUUUUAAUUCCCACCGCUAAAAGCGCUGGAAUCCGCGACACUAAUUUCCAUAAGGUAACAGAUCUAUUCCGAAGACGAGACUCAUAUUCCGUGGUAUAGGUUCAGAAUAAGAACUUUUGAAUUGUUCUACAAAUAUCUUGCCUGUUGUGCCUCAACAACCAAUAAUUAUAAAUUAAUCUAGCAAAG